UUAGGAAUCUUGGACAAUGGGCGCAAGCCUGAUCCAGCCAUGCCGCGUGAGUGAUGAAGGCCUUAGGGUUGUAAAGCUCUUUCAGCGGGGAAGAUAAUGACGGUACCCGCAGAAGAAGCCCCGGCUAACUUCGUGCCAGCAGCCGCGGUAAUACGAAGGGGGCUAGCGUUGCUCGGAAUCACUGGGCGUAAAGCGCACGUAGGCGGGUUCUUAAGUCAGGGGUGAAAUCCCGGAGCUCAACUCCGGAACUGCCUUUGAUACUGGGAAUCUUGAGUCCGGGAGAGGUGG
rnacentral:rRNA from 1 species